GAGGACAUAAUAUCAUAGGCCAUGUAACAUGUUAUUUCUACCUUUAUUACAUAAUAGUUAAGCUGCACUCUCACCCAAAUUCAAAACCCUAUUCUUCGAGGCUUCCCUGGUACUAUUGUUUAACAGAAAAAUGAGCAGCCGCGCGAGCAGAACUCUUUAUGUCGGAAAUCUCCCUGGUGAUAUUCGUGAGAAAGAAGUUGAAGAUUUGUUUUACAAGUAUGGACCUAUAGCCCAUAUUGAUCUGAAGAUCCCACCAAGGCCUCCUGGCUACGCUUUUAUUGAGUUUGAAGAGGCUCGAGAUGCUGAGGAUGCCAUUCGUGGUCGGGAUGGCUAUGACUUUGAUGGGCACCGAUUACGGGUGGAACUUGCACAUGGUGGGCGAGGACGUUCAUCAUCUGAUCGUCAUAGUAGUUAUAGCAGUGGUCGUGGACGUGGAGUAUCCAGGCGAUCUGAAUAUCGCGUGUUAGUCACUGGAUUGCCCUCUUCUGCUUCGUGGCAAGACCUUAAGGAUCACAUGCGUCGAGCUGGAGAUGUCUGUUUUUCCCAAGUUUUCCGUGAUGGUAGCGGCACAACAGGAAUUGUGGAUUACACAAACUAUGAUGACAUGAAGCAUGCAAUCAAAAAACUUAAUGACUCAGAGUUUCGGAAUGCAUUUUCUCGGUCCUAUGUUCGUGUGAGGGAGUAUGAUUCUAGGCGAGACAACUCUCGAAGCCCUAGUCGAGGCCGUUCUUAUUCAAGAGACCGGAGUGAAAGCCGCAGUCGUAGUCAUGGUCGAAGUUACAGUCGAAGCAGGAGCAGGAGCAAAUCUCCAAAAGCCAAAUCUUCGCGUCGCUCACCUGCUAGAUCUAGAUCGAGGUCUGUUUCUUCUCGCUCUCACUCUGGAUCAAAACCACGCUCUUUGUCAAGAUAAUGGAUAUAUGCUGCGAAAUGGGAAUUGGAUAUUAGGACUUGAUGGAAUAUGGUUCAAUUGCCUGCAAUCUUUUGGUUGUGGAGAUUGGGAACAAAGGAGGGAAUGGAUUGCAAUAAUAAAGCUGGAUUUCAGCAAAUUAAGUGCCACUGGGAUCUGGAAGUCACCAUCAGUGGGCGGUAGAAACAAAUUCAUUUUCAUUUUCUGCUCCAACAAUUGACAAGCUAAUAGGAUGUGCUAUCCGGAUUCUCUUGGAUUUUUCGUGUUAUUGUAGGGGGAAUGCAUGCCCUCUGCCACGGGUGUCUUCUUAAAAUGCAAUAUGAUUCUUAAUUAAGUUUUCUUUUUAAUUUAGGUGUUAUGUGCGGGUGGGAUUUAUUUAUACAGUCUGAUAUUUUCAUUUUUGUGAUGAACUGCUCAAGGUUUCUUGCUUUUUUGUUAUCCUUUUAAUAUGGUCAAUUUUGAUGUGGAAGAGGCCCAAGGUUCUUGGAUGACAGUUCUUAAAAGGAACGUGUGGAUUUUAAAUUUGGGUUGUUUCUGGAACUUUUGCAGAUCUCAAUCAAGAUCAAGAUCUCCAUUGCCUCCUAGACAGACAAGUAAAAGCCCAAAAAAGCGCAGUGUUAGCAGGAGCCCCAGUGGAAGCAGAAGCAGGAGCAGAAGCAAAAGUUUAUCCCGGUGAGAAUGGUUCUCGGUGAUCUCUGGAUGCUAUGGAUGUGGGAUAAAUACCAUUUUGCCUUAAUUGUUGUAUUACUGGUGACUUGGAAUCUUUGUUUGAAGCAGACUUGUCAUAUUCUGAAUCAUUUAUGGAUUUGAAACAGUCUAUGUUUUAUGUUAUUUGGACCGUGUUAGAUUCUUAAGCUCUUUUCUCACUUUAAGGUGUGUUGGAAUACCUGAGUUUGAGACAAA